AUCGGAAAUGUUCAGUGCCCAGAAAGUUAGUAAAGACAUUGUUAAAAUAGUCCACGUGAUUGCAGUGGUUCAACUUUAAUGUU